rnacentral:tRNA from 1 species
GCCCCGGUAGCUCAACUGGAUAGAGCAACGGCCUUCUAAGCCGUCGGUUGUGCGUUCGAGUCGCGCCCGGGGUA